rnacentral:rRNA from 1 species
AGCACGUAGGUGGGUUUGUAAGUCAGACGUGAAAGCCUUCUGUUCAACGGAAGAAUUGCAUCUGAAACUACAAACCUUGAGUGUAGGAGGGGAGAGUGGAACUUCUGGUGGAGCGGUGAAAUGCGUAGAUAUCAGAAGGAACGUCGGCGGCGAAAGCGACUCUCUGGCCUAUUACUGACACUGAGUGUGCGAAAGUUAGGGGAGCAAACGGGAUUAGAUACCCCGGUA